CGGACGGGUGAGUAACACGUGGAUAACCUACCUAUAAGACUGGGAUAACUUCGGGAAACCGGAGCUAAUACCGGAUAAUAUUUUGAACCGCAUGGUUCAAAAGUGAAAGACGGUCUUGCUGUCACUUAUAGAUGGAUCCGCGCUGCAUUAGCAGUUGGUAAGGUAACGGCUUACCAAGGCAACGAUGCAUAGCCGACCUGAGAGGGUGAUCGGCCACACUGGAACUGAGACACGGUCCAG
rnacentral:rRNA from 1 species